rnacentral:rRNA from 1 species
UGGGGGAUAUUGCACAAUGGGCGAAAGCCUGAUGCAGCGACGCCGCGUGGGGGAUGAAGGCUUUCGGGUUGUAAACCUCUUUCGCUAUCGAACAAGGCCCGCUUAGGGUGGUUUGAGGGUAGGUGGAGAAGAAGCGCCGGCUAACUACGUGCCAGCAGCCGCGGUAAUACGUAGGGCGCGAGCGUUGUCCGGAAUUAUUGGGCGUAAAUGGCUUGUAGGCGGCUUGUUGCGCCUGCUGUGAAAACGCGGGGCUUAACUUCGCGCGUGCAGUGGGUACGGGCAGGCUUGAGUGUGGUAGGGGUGACUGGAAUUCCAGGUGUAGCGGUGGAAUGCGCAGAUAUCUGGAGGAACACCGAUGGCGAAGGCAGGUCACUGGGCCAUUACUGACGCUGAGGAGCGAAAGCAUGGGUAGCGAACAGG